UUGCUAAUUAGUCACAUCUCUACAAUACCUGCUGCUUAUCUGGUCAGUUACCGAUAGCUUGUACCAUAGCCAUUAUAUUUGUAGGACCAAUACAAUUUACAGUAAAUGUAACAGUCUUUUCUAUACUGUAGGAGGGCAAAUCCCAGUUGCCCACAUGCAAGGAGGCUGUCAACAGAGAAAUCACUGCAGACUGUUGGUACACAGACAUCUGCUGCCCAGCUCAGGAGUGAAGUACCUUUUGUUUUGAUGAGGUGAUGGUGAGGACAGCCACAGCUUCCAUCUGGUAGAGGACUGCUUCCGCUCAGUCUUCCAAAUAGUGAUGAGAACAAGGAUCACCACAUCUCCCUGUUUACCCUACUUUCAUGCAUUUCGUCUGCAAGGCCCUGCAAAAGCUUCUUCUUCGUCCUCAAACCCCCAGACUUCUUAAUUAACUCAGUAACCUAUACAUUGCACAUUGGAGUGUGAAGGUAACAGUUUGUUCUAGCUUUGGAGUAGUGGUGUAUUUUUUUGGUUUACAAUAAAGUUGGCUUUAACUAUUA